CAGAAGAGGAGCAGUAGCUAGGUAAAUAACACGAAGAACCACCAUUCUUUUGACUGUUAUUGAGGGAGACUACUGCCGAGGAUAAUUAGCGAGUGGCGUUAUUUAUUCGGUUACUAGGGCUGAAUCCCUAGGAUUGUCACCUCUAGUUAGUGUUUAUUUUAAACCUAAUUAGUUUAUGGUGGAGAGCUUCUGGC
rnacentral:ncRNA from 1 species